GAUGAACGCUGGCGGCGUGCCUAAUACAUGCAAGUCGAGCGACGAGGGGACGGGUGAGUAUCACGUCGAUAAACUCCUAUAAGGAUGGGAUUACUUCGGGAAACCGGAGCUAAUACGGCUAAUUAUCGCUGGAUCCGCGCUGCAUUAGCUAGUUGGUAAGCUAACGGCUUACCAAGGCCACGAUGCAUAGCCGACCUGAGAGGGUGACCGGCCACACUGGAACUGAGACACGGUCCAGACUCCUACGGGAGGCAGCAGUAGGGAAUCUUGCGCAAUGGGCGAAAGCCUGACAGAGCAACGCCGCGUGAGUGAGGAAGGUCUUCGGAUCGUAAAACUCUGUCAUUAGGGAAGCGUUACCCAAUCAGAAAGCCACGGCUAACUACGUGCCAGCAGCCGCGGUAAUAC
rnacentral:rRNA from 1 species